ACGACUAAUUGCAAUCACCUGGGCGUGCGGGCUGGGGGUCAUGGGUACGUAACUUCCUUCCCGACAAACACAAAAGAAGCUCUCCCAAAUUGUUUGGUACGCAAGUUGCUUGUCGCUGGUCGGUACAAACCGCGCACUUCAUGCUGGGUUUUGGUUGCGAACAACUCCCUCGCUGUGGUCUGGACUGUCAUCUCCUCCCUACUCCUGUUUCCCUGUGACUACCAAUGCGAAUGCUGACCGUGGAGCUGACACACUUCCCUCCUCUGCUCCUGUUCCCCUGGGCUAGCUCGCAUUGUGGAAAAGGCCGAGAUCACAGCUGGCUGUCUAUCACAGUUUGACCACUGUUUUCCCCC